rnacentral:rRNA from 1 species
CAGCAGCCGCGGUAAUACCGAGGGUGCGAGCGUUAAUCGGAUUUACUGGGCGUAAAGCGUGCGUAGGCGGCUUUUUAAGUCGGAUGUGAAAUCCCUGAGCUUAACUUAGGAAUUGCAUUCGAUACUGGGAAGCUAGAGUAUGGGAGAGGAUGGUAGAAUUCCAGGUGUAGCGGUGAAAUGCGUAGAGAUCUGGAGGAAUACCGAUGGCGAAGGCAGCCAUCUGGCCUAAUACUGACGCUGAGGUACGAAAGCAUGGGGAGCAAACAGGAUUAGAUACCCCCGUAGUCCCUGUCUCUUAUAU